AUUCAGUUGACGAGUCCCAAAUAAGACGAAAUGCGCGUUAUGGAU
rnacentral:hammerhead_ribozyme from 1 species